UAUCAGAGGGGAAUAACAAUGAGAAAUCAGUGCUAAUACCGCAUAAGGUUCAGUCAUCGCAUGAUGGCAGAAGGAAAGGUGGCGGACUCGUAGAGAGGCUAUCGCUGAUAGAGCGACCCGCGUCUGAUUAGCUAGUUGGUGGGGUAAAGGCCUACCAAGGCGACGAUCAGUAGCCGGCCUGAGAGGGUGGACCGGCCACAUUGGGACUGAGACACGGCCCAAACUCCUACGGAAGGCAGCAG
rnacentral:rRNA from 1 species